ensembl:snRNA U6 U6 spliceosomal RNA
GUGCUUGCUUUGCCAGCACAUACACUAAAAUUGGGAUGAAAUAAGAAAGAUUAGCAUGCCCAUACACAAGGAUGGCAAGCAAGUUCAUGAAGUGUUCUAUUUUAUU